UACGUAGGUGGCAAGCGUUGUCCGGAUUACUGGGCGUAAAGAGCGCGCAGGCGGUCGUUCAAGUCGCGUGUGAAAGCCCCCGGCUCAACUGGGAGGGUCACGCGAUACUGAUCGACUCGAAGGCAGGAGAGGGUAGUGGAAUUCCCGGUGUAGUGGUGGAAAUGCGUAGAUAUCGGGAGGAACACCAGUGGCGAAGGCGACUACCUGGCC
rnacentral:rRNA from 1 species